UGGGGAAUAUUGGACAAUGGGCGAAAGCCUGAUCCAGCCAUGCCGCGUGUGUGAAGAAGGUCUUCGGAUUGUAAAGCACUUUAAGUUGGGAGGAAGGGCAUUAACCUAAUACGUUAGUGUUUUGACGUUACCGACAGAAUAAGCACCGGCUAACUCUGUGCCAGCAGCCGCGGUAAUACAGAGGGUGCAAGCGUUAAUCGGAAUUACUGGGCGUAAAGCGCGCGUAGGUGGUUUGUUAAGUUGGAUGUGAAAUCCCCGGGCGCAUCCUGGGAACUGCAUUCAAAACUGACUGACUAGAGUAUGGUAGAGGGUGGUGGAAUUUCCUGUGGAGCGGUGAAAUGCGUAGAUAUAGGAAGGAACACCAGUGGCGAAGGCGACCACCUGGACUAAUACUGACACUGAGGUGCGAAAGCGUGGGGAGCAAACA
rnacentral:rRNA from 1 species